rnacentral:rRNA from 1 species
GACGAACCGUGCGAACGUUAUUCGGAAUCACUGGGCUUAAAGCGCGUGUAGGCGGGCCGGCACGUCGGUCGCUGAAAUCCCCCGGCUCAACCGGGGAAGGGGCGCCGAUACGACCGGCCUGGAGGGGGGUAGGGGGCGCUGGAACUCACGGUGGAGCGGUGAAAUGCGUUGAGAUCGUGAGGAACGCCCGCGGCGAAAGCGAGCGCCUGGACCCUUUCUGACGCUGAGACGCGAAAGCCAGGGGAGCGAACGGG